rnacentral:rRNA from 1 species
AGAGUUUGAUCAGGGCUCAGGACGGACGCUGGCGGCGUGCCUAAUACAUGCAAGUCGAGCGAGCUUGCCUAGAUGAUUUUAGUGCUUGCACUAAAUGAAACUAGAUACAAGCGAGCGGCGGACGGGUGAGUAACACGUGGGUAACGUGCCCAAGAGACUGGGAUAACACCUGGAAACAGAUGCUAAUACCGGAUAACAACACUAGACGCAUGUCUAGAGUUUGAAAGACGGUUCUGCUAUCACUCUUGGAUGGACCUGCGGUGCAUUAGCUAGUUGGUAAGGUAACGGCUUACCAAGGCAAUGAUGCAUAGCCGAGUUGAGAGACUGAUCGGCCACAUUGGGACUGAGACACGGCCCAAACUCCUACGGGAGGCAGCAGUAGGGAAUCUUCCACAAUGGACGAAAGUCUGAUGGAGCAACGCCGCGUGAGUGAAGAAGGGUUUCGGCUCGUAAAGCUCUGUUGGUAGUGAAGAAAGAUAGAGGUAGUAACUGGCCUUUAUUUGACGGUAAUUACUUAGAAAGUCACGGCUAACUACGUGCCAGCAGCCGCGGUAAUACGUAGGUGGCAAGCGUUGUCCGGAUUUAUUGGGCGUAAAGCGAGUGCAGGCGGUUCAAUAAGUCUGAUGUGAAAGCCUUCGGCUCAACCGGAGAAUUGCAUCAGAAACUGUUGAACUUGAGUGCAGAAGAGGAGAGUGGAACUCCAUGUGUAGCGGUGGAAUGCGUAGAUAUAUGGAAGAACACCAGUGGCGAAGGCGGCUCUCUGGUCUGCAACUGACGCUGAGGCUCGAAAGCAUGGGUAGCGAACAGGAUUAGAUACCCUGGUAGUCCAUGCCGUAAACGAUGAGUGCUAAGUGUUGGGAGGUUUCCGCCUCUCAGUGCUGCAGCU